rnacentral:lncRNA from 1 species
AGGAGUUGGAGCUCAAGUUGGAGACAGCGAGGAGAAACCUGCCAUAGCCAGGGAGGUGAGGAGAAGCCAGAGGUCCUUGGUGUGCCCUCAGAAAUCUGCCUGCAGUUCUCACCAAGCCGCUGUGAAAAUGGGGAUAAACACCCGGGAGCUGUUUCUCAACUUCACUAUUGUCUUGAUUACGGUUAUUCUUAUGUGGCUCCUUGUGAGGUCCUAUCAGUACUGAGAGGCCAUGCCAUGGUCCUGGGAUUGACUGAGAUGCUCCGGAGCUGCCUGCUCUAUGCCCUGAGACCCCACUGCUGUCAUUGUCACAGGAUGCCAUUCUCCAUCCGAGGGCACCUGUGACCUGCACUCACAAUAUCUGCUAUGCUGUAGUGCUAGGAUUGAUUAUGUGUUCUCCAAAGAUGCUGCUCCCAAGGGCUGCCAAGUGUUUGCCAGGGAACGGUAGAUUUAUUCCCCAACUCUUAACUGAAAAUGUGUUAGACAAGCCACAAAGUUAAAAUUAAACUGGAUUCAUGAUGAUG